CCUUUCCCGGAGUGCUGCGGCCAGGGCUCGCCCGCUCCUCCGGCGGCCUCCGCUGGGGGCCCACUACAGCCCAGCGCCAGCCAGCCAGCCAGCCCAGCUUCUCGAAUCGGUCCUAAGCUGAGGCCGCCCUGCGCUGCAAAACUUGUGUCCACUCUCGGACCCAAUCUGUCCUGGACGGACUUGGCUCGUGGCAGGCGAAAGCGUCGUUUCCAACUGCAGCUGUUUGAAUUCUGGCGCCACACCCGCGCCACGUAGGGCCAAGUCGGCCGCCAGACUCGUGCGAGAGGGCGGGACGGCCUCGUUCUGACUCCGGGAGGCUAUAUAAGGAGCUACUGGCUGCGCACUUCGGUCUUUUACGUCGGCCUUCGCGAGCGUCUGGGCGGGUGGUAGGAACAAUGGCGCUGUCUUCAGUGGCACAGUGGAGCAGCUCUGAAGAUGCAAAGAUACACGAAAAAACUUCCAGAACAUCUGGGAGAAUAUUUAAUGGAAAAUCGCUUGGUUAAAACCUGACACUUUUAACAGUGAACAGCGUUCUGAGUGUGGACGAGUAGCCAGUGAAGAUAAUGAAUGUCGAAUGUGACUGACUAGCAGCUUCAUUUUGAAUGAGGGUCGCUGUCUGCCCAUUGAUAGAGGCCAGAUUGUCUUGGAAGUUCCAAAGUUGCAACGAUUUCUGGCUAGUGCCACGAGGUUUACUUGACUGUUGUGUGAAAAGCUGAUAAGAAAACCAUCCAGAAAAAAGCUCUUCGUUUUACAAACAUGAAAAUAAAACAUGGUGGAACUGGUGGUGUGAUUUAAAUUCUCCAAAAGAGAAAUGAGAAAAGUUGGAAGCUGUUGUGGCCUGACUUUAUACCCCCAAAAUUCAUAUUUUGAAUACCCCAAAAAGAAGUAUAAUGUAAGUCCAGAAUCAUUACUGGUGAUGACGUUCAAAAGUCAGAAUUGAGAUAUACCCCAAAGAACACACCUUGCUAUUGCCCUAGAGAAGUUUAAUGUGUUUUAUGCCUAUGUUCCUAUUGAUGCAGUUAAAGUGACCAACUAUUAGCAACAAACCCCAAAUUGUCCUUUGUACAAAAAUAGUUGAUUAGGCCAGGUGCAGUAGCUCAUACCUGUAAACUCCCAGUACUUUGGGAGGCCAAAGUGGGAAGUUCGCUUGAAGCCAGGAAUUUGAGACCAGUGGGCAACAUAGCAAGCCCGUCUCUACAAAGUGUUAAAAAAUUAGCUGGGCUACUUGGAGGAUCUGGCUACGUGGUGGCUGAGAUGGGAGGAUUGCUUGAGCCCAGGAGUUCAAGACCGCAGUGAGCUAUGAUUGUGCCACUGCACUCUAGCUGGGCAAGAGUGAGACCCUUUCUCAAAAAAAAAAAAAGAAAAAGUUAUUUAAAGUUAUUUGCACUGUGUCUUUAUUAUGCUUAUAUCCAUAUUUUUCAUAACUGAAGGCCAUACCAUCAAUAAAAACACAUUGAGUACAUUAAAAAUAUGGAUAUGAGCAGUAACAAAAAUAUAGGCCAAAUAACAUCAUUAUUAUUAUCAUCAUUAAUUAUUUUAGAGACAGGUUCUCACUCUGUCACCCAGGCUGGAAUGCAGUGGCCUAAUCAUAGCUCACUGCCACCUUGAACUCUUGGGCUCAAGGGAUCCUCCCACUCAGCCUCCCAAAUAACCAGGAGAUCCUCUAGCAUGUGCCACCAAGCUCAGCUGAUUUGUAUUACUUUUUAUAGGGAUGGGGUGUCACUAUGUUUCCCAGGCUGCUCUUAAACUCCUGACCUCAAGUGAUCCUUCCACCUUGGCCUCCAAAAGUGCUGAGAUUACAAAUGUGAGUCUCCUCACCAAGAUGCUUUUUUUUUUUUUUUUAAGCAGUGAAAUGAGAGCUCACUGUGUAGCCCAAGCUGGUCUUGAACUCCAGACCUCAAGUGGUCUUCCUGCCUCAGCCUCCUGAGUAGCUGGGAUUAUUGAUGUGAGUGGCCACACCUAUACCAAAUAAUUUUAAUCAACCACUUUUUUUUUUUUUUUUAAGACAGAGUCGUGCUCUGUCGCCAGGCUGGAGUGCAGUGGUGCCAUCUCAGCUCACUGCAACCUCUGCCUCCCGGGUUCAAGUGAUUCUCCUGCCUCAGCCUCCUGAGUAGCUGGGACUACAGGCGCAUGCCACUACGCCCAACUAAUUUUUGUAUUUUUAGUAGAGACAGGGUUUCACCAUGUUGGCCAGGAUGGUCUUGAUCUCUUGACCUCGUGAUCUGCCCACCUCAGGCUCCCAAAGUGUUGGGAUUACAGGCGUGAGCCACCGCACCCGGCCCUAACCUGUACUUUUGUAUAAAAGUAGUUGAUUAAGGCCGGGCACGGUGGUUCACACCUGUAAUCCCAGCACUUUGGGAGGCCAAGGUGGGCAGAUCACUUGAGGUCAGGAGUUCGAGACCAACUUGGCCAACAUGGUGAAACCCCGUCUCUACUAAAAACACAAAAAUUAGUCGGGUGUGGUGGCACGCACCUGUAAUCCCAGCUACUUGGGAGGCUGAAGCAGGAGAAUUGCUUGAACCCAGGAGGCAGAUGUUGCAGUGAGCCAAGAUUGUGCCACUGGACUCCAGCCUGGGUGACAGAGCAAGACUCCGUCUCAAAAAACAAAAUAAAUAACAAAAGUACAGUUUGGGAAUUGUUGCUAAUAGUUGAUUAGUUUAAUUGCUUCAAUGAGAACAUAAAGCAUUAAACACAGUAAACUACUCUGGAGCAAUAGUAAGGUGUACUCCUUGAGAUACAUCGUAAUUCUGACUUGAAUUUCAUUGCUGAUGGAGAUUCUGAGUUUAUGUUACAUUUCUUUUUCGAAAGUGAAUGUACACUGACUAGCCCUUAAAAAAAAGAAAAAAAGCAGCCGGGCGUGGUGGCACACGCCUGUAAUCCCAGCACUUUGGGAGGCCAAGGCGGGCAUUAUCACUUGAGGUCAGGAGUUCAAGACCAGCUUGGCCAACAUGGUGAAACCCCAUCUCUACUAAAAAUACAAAAAUUAGUCUGGCUUGAUGGUACACACCUGUAAUCCCAGCUACUCCGGAGGCUGAGGCAGGAGAAUCGCUUGAGCCCAGGAGUUGAAGACCAGCCUAGGCACAGCAAGACCCCAUCUCAAGAGAAAGAAAGAGAGAGAGAGAGAAAGGGAGGAAGGGAGAGAAAAAGAGAAAGGAAGGAAGAGAGGGAAGGAGGGAAGGAGGGAGGGAGGGACACAAACAUUGUUCUGAGUUUGGCCUCAUGCCCAGAAACGUCAGGAUAGUUUUGAAAUUCAUGGACUUGUCCCCACAUAUUGAUGUAGCUCACUUUCUUGAAGGAUAUUGCUUGCUUUCAAUUCAAUCUGUUCCUCAGGAGAUUGAACCAUACUGAUAGACUAAGUGUGUGAUGAUUCAGAAAUAUACCAAGGUUUGCAUUCAUUUGUUCAUUGAGCAAAUAUCCUGAAUGCCUACCAUGUAUAGGUACUAUCCUAGGCACUAAAGAUACAGUAGUGAACCAAACAAAAACCUCUGCCCUUGUGGAGCUUACAUUGUAGGAAGAGGAGAAGGACAUUAUAUAAUAAAUAAAUUAUAAGCUAUGUUAAAAAAUGAGAAAUGACACAGAAAAAAUAGAAUAUGAGACAUUGGGAGUGGGUUUGGGGAGAUAAUUAGUGUUGCAGUUUCAAAUGGGGAUUCUCUCAUCUGAGAGGCAAUUGAAGUAAAUGGGGUUGACAGAAUAGGCUUCAAUGAAAAGUUGAGAUUAAUUAAGCAGAGAUUUAGAUAUGUGCAUAGCUCAAUCUCUCACCUAACAGAGGGUGAGAGAUUGAUCUGUGCAUAUAUCUGGGAAAAGGGCAUUUCCAUAGCAGUGGCCCAUAGGAAGGAGCAUGCAUAGUGAGAAAGGAAGCAAGGCCUGCAGCUUAUGUAGGGCUUAAUGGGUCAUUGAAAGGAUUUCAUUCUUAGUCAAAUGGGAACCACUGUGAAAGAAAACACAGAAACUCCAAGUAUGAUUCAUACACAUCAAAAUCUAUGAACCCUACCCCUAGGGCCCAGAUUGUGGCCUCUAAAUACCACUUACCACUAAAAGGAAACAGAUCUGAGACAGGAAAUGUACAAGAUGAGCUUGUUGUACGUUGCUAUAACAGGUAGCAAGACUGCUGGAGUUGUGUUAGAAGAACUCAGGAGGCCAAGCACGGUGGCUCACGCCUGUAAUCCCAGCAAGGAUUACAAAACAGGCAGAUCACUUCAGGUCAGGAGUUUGAGACCAGCCUGGCCAACGUGGUGAAACCCCAUCUCUACUAAAAAUACAAAAAUUAGCUGGGCAUGGCGACGGGUGCCUGUAAUCCCAGCUACUCAGGAGGCUGAGACAGGAGAAUUGCUUGAACCCGGGAAGCGGAGGUUGCAGUGAGCUGAGAUCUCGCCACUGCACUCCAGCCUGGGUGACAGAGGGAGAUCCAUCUCAAAAAAAAAAGGAACUCAGGAGUAAACUUGGAGAGUCUCUCACUUUCCAAAGAUAGAAAAUUUGACUAUUAUUGAGGUGUAAUAGAGAAAAAAUAGAGAAAAAGACAUGUCUUCAAAUCUAUGAAUUCAGAAUGAUACUUUAAAAAACUGAAUUUAAUAUAAGUGUUAAAGGAUGCUAAUCAUCAGUUUCAGAACUGCAAAUAAAGGGACUUUCCAAUACCAACUGUACUGACAUAACCAAAUAAAAGGUGAUAAAAAGUUUGUCUUUAUUGAUAUAUUCCAGUUAACAAUGAAAAAAGAUUGGCAUAAUUAGAAGAUCAUCAUUUUGCAACAUUCUAAUGAAUUAAUGUAUAGGCAAUAAAUAUCAAUGACUGCUAACAUCCAAAAAAGAGGUGAUAAGAUAUUAUAUGUCCCUGAAGAAAGAAUUUGCCUCUGCCUAUUUCAGACUCUUGUCUGAAAACAACAAAAAUGAAUAUGAAUUUGAUAAAGCCUCUGGAUAUAAUUACUAAUUUAUAGAUUACAAAGACAUAUGUUAAACUACAUUACAAAGAUACAAUCAGCAAAAUCCAGACUAUGGAAAACUCUACAAAUGAUUUCUAUAACAAAUAAAUUGCAAGGAAAGAAACCAACCAAACGAGAUGAAUGGGUAACCUACAAAUCAAGAAACUGAAAAGAUAUAUCAACAUUCUCAAUGUUUGCAUCCCAGUUGGAUUCUCAUUCAAUAUUGUUUUAAAAAAUGAAUUUAUGAGAUAUAUGUUUAAACACAGGCUAUUUCAUGUAUUAAAAAAUAAUUGGGACUUUGUUAGAUGUGAUAAUGGCAUUGUGGCUCUUUUUGUUGUUCAAGAGGCUGUAUCUUUUAGACAAAUAUACUGAGUUAUUUAUGGAUGAAAUGAUUUGAUGUCUGAGAUUUGUUGCAAAAUAAUACAGAAAACAAAGGAAGUGGUUGAAGG
rnacentral:lncRNA from 10 species